rnacentral:rRNA from 1 species
UACGGAGGGUGCAAGCGUUAUCCGGAAUUACUGGGUUUAAAGGGUGCGUAGGCGGCUUCAUAAGUCAGGGGUGAAAGCCUAACGCUUAACGAUAGAAUUGCCUUUGAUACUGUAAAGCUUGAAAGGGGUUGAGGUCAGCAGAAUGUGGCAUGUAGCGGUGAAAUGCAUAGAUAUGCCAUAGAACACCGAUUGCGAAGGCAGCUGGCUGGGCCUACUUUGACGCUGAGGCAAGAAAGCGUGGGGAGCGAACAGG